GACGAACGCUGGCGGCGUGCUUAACACAUGCAAGUCGAACGGAAAGGCCCUGCUUUUGUGGGGUGCUCGAGUGGCGAACGGGUGAGUAACACGAGAGUAACCUGCCCUUGACUCUGGGAUAACUUCAGGAAACUGGGGCUAAUACAGGAUAGGAGCUCCUGCUGCAUGGUGGGGGUUGGAAAGUUUCGGCGGUUGGGGAUGGACUCGCGGGUUAUCAGCGUGUUGGUGGGGUAGUGGCGUACGAAGGCUUUGACGGGUAGCCGGCCUGAGAGGGUGACCGGCCACAUUGGGACUGAGAUACGGCCCAGACGCGUACGGGAGGCAGCAGUGGGGAAUAUUGCACAAUGGGCGGAAGCCGUAUGCAGCAACGCCGCGUGCGUGAUGACGGCCUUCGGGUUGUAAACCGCUUUCGCCUGUGACGAAGCGUGAGUGACGGUAAUGGGUAAAGAAGCGCCGGCUAACUACGUG
rnacentral:rRNA from 1 species